rnacentral:tRNA from 1 species
GCCGUCGUAGCUCAGCAGGUAGAGCAACGCCAUGGUAAGGCGUAGGUCAAGAGUUCGAAUCUCUCCGUCGGCUCCA